UAAUAUUCUUGUUGGAUAUACCUAACUAGUAGAAGUAUUUAUAAUAUUUUACUAUGUUGUUUUACGACAUUUCUAUUUGUAUAGUUCAUUAAAACUGCGACUACUUUUGAUGCCUGUUUUAAUAUUCUUGAUCAAUAACAUUGCUUGACAAAAUUCAAGUUUAUUUCGUGUAAGAACUUGUAUACAGUAUGCAGGCAUUUUUUAAUAGCAAAAAACACUAAAACAGGUGUUGGAAGUCAUCAAGAUAACCACCACAGAUUUUAUUUAAACAUUUUUCCUUUAAUAUAUUUUUCUUACCUAUGGCCGGUCGCAGAGAUAUUCUGUGAGACGUUGAUUUAAUCACAGUGGCCCAGAAACAUCUUUCAAAUGCUCCCAUUUAACCUCUGUCCUAUAUAUCAGGAUAUAGAAAACUUCAUUCAUGCAACGAGAAAAUAACAAGUCGGAUUUUUUUUUUUGGAAAAAACAAAUCUUGGGCAGAUCAUGUUAGUUACAUUAAGCAUUGUCUGGACUUAAAUCUGGAAUGUAUAUUAAUCAUGGAACAUUUUGUUCUGAGUUUGUGAACAAACAAAUUUUGGCGGCAGUUCAUACUUUCGGAGCCAAAUAUUGAAAAAAGUACAUAUAAAAUGGUAGCCUCAAAAAUCUUGAUGUACAGAAAAACUGUUUUUAGCGAAGACGGCGUUCGAAAUACCCCUGAGAAUAUAAUCCUUGCUCAAUACAGAAAACUAUUUUUUGCUCCAAAAAUUUUGAGAUGCAGAACAUUUAUUUUAUUGUAUACAUUUUUCUCAUGUUUGUGUAAACUAGAUUUUUCCAAUAUCUGUUGGACAUAUUUAAAAUUGAAUUCAAUGACUUUAACGCUCCCUUAAAGCAUAAGAACAACUGUAUAGCGAUGAAAUUUUAAUUGUCUGAUGAUCGGAAAAUAAUUGACGAUAUCUUCCAUAUAAGUUCCCCUUUAGAAAAUUGUAUCUGUGCAUUGACUCAAAUAUUUUUUGUUUGUGAAUGGUUCCAAUGGCAUAGUAUUAUAAUUGAUUAAACUUAAUUAUCUCUUAAAUUUAAAAGGUAUUUGUCCAUAAUGGACUUAACACUCAUACUUGUGCGUAUUUAAUUUUUUAGUGAUUGUUUUAAUUUUUUAGUGAUUGUUUUAAUUUUUUAAUGGUAAGUAAAAAAGGUAAACAUUUUAUGCUUAUCCAAAGUGAAUAUUAGUGGUCAUAAAUUCGGAAAUAGACAUUCAUACAAAAAUCAAAGGUUUAUAUUUAGACAAAUGUGCCACAGAAAGCACAUUUUAAUAAAUACAUAUAAGGCGAAGACUGAAAACAUUUUGAUAUCUGCAAAUGAAUUAGAUUAAUUAAAAAUAACCCUGAAUGAUUGGACAUUUGUAAGCUUAUGUAUAAAUAUUUUGCUUCGAGUAUUAAUAAAAGAAACUACCCAGCGGGAAAAAAGAGUUAGUAAAGUGGCCUUCCUAAAAGCUUUUUUUUGCAGACACAAGCACACCCCCUCUGCAUUGCAAAAUCAUUUCAAUUUUACACGGCGAGUCAUUGGCAGCCAAGUGCUUGCCUUCUCUGUUAGAGGGUUACUUAAAAAGGCCUAUUAAAUGGUCUUCCCUUGAAGGCCUAUUAGAAUAUCUUUUGCUGAAGGCUUAGAAGACCAAUAACGGAAUGUAUAUAAGAUGGUCUUCCGUUAAAGUCAUAUUAGAAGAUCUUCAGUCGAAGGCUUGUAGAAUGUCGGUAUAGGAAAUUAUAAUAAAAGUUUUAGGGACUUAUUCAUACGAAUUUAUCAGUUUUUUAAAACAAAUUUUCAUACAAAAUUUGAUAUAUACAACUUUGAUAAAUUCUUAUCAAUAAGUCAAUAAGACUUUUAAUAUAAUUACCUGUGCAGAAUACAAAGGCUUCGACGGAAGCAUGUCUAAGAGGGUUAUUAGGGAAUACAUUUUUAAUAAAUUCAAUAUUAAACUUAAGGAAUUAGCUUUAAAGAGUCGCAUGUGUAGUUUUAAUUAUAAAACACUACUUUACGUGAACUCUUCAACAUAAAGUUAAGCAAAAAACUAAAUUUUUGGAAUGAAAAGAAUACAUUCUUCUGUUUUCAGAUAGAGGUUUAUAAAAAAGAACCCAAUCAUGUUUGAAUUUUAAUAAUUGUUUGGACUUGUUUUGCAAUGCAACAUAUAAUGUGUAUGAAUCCUUCGAGAAGGGAAGCAAAGUGCUUGUAGAAGGCAGUGUCUUUUGUAAAGUGUAAAUAUGGCUCCUAGAAGGCCUAAAAAUCGAAGUCCUAGCAUUUUCCCGCUUUAUUUUAACCAAUAUCUUCAUUUAUGUAAAAGAUUUUUAGGGUUACCGAUUUAUUUGCAAAAAUUUCCCACAAUUCCGAAAUUAAAAGAUUUUUGACUUUUAGGGCUACCGUUUUAUAUGCAAAAACAGAUAUCGGAAAAAAUUAUACGCAUUCCUUCUCAAAAAAAGUCUAAAGUGAUUAUUUUAAUAAAUAAAGAUUUAAGUCAUUGUUCAUAUAUCAAA